GCCCCUCUCCGUGCAUAGGUGCUCCCACAAGCUGGAUGAGUUAAGAAUUCUUUGGAGCAUAGAAUAGGCUGACUUGAUCUUCUAAAGGAAGAUUCUGACAUUCCUUUCCCUUCAAAUUUCCAACACACUGGAGUAAAUAGUUAAUCACCAGCUUUCUUGCAUAAAAAUUGUCGGUUCCUUGCUCUUCAAUCCAUCCACAAGUGAUGUAGGUUUGAGAGACCCACCUUCUGCUUCCAGAGUAUUUUAAUGUCUAUCCAAAUUCUUCUACUAAAUGGCAUCUUGCAAAGAGGUGGUGUACUAUUUUAGAUGGUGAACCGCAGGGGGGGUAGCCAAAGCUUGCUUGCCAAACUUUUUUGCUCCACACUUCGACUAUGUUGAUCGAUUUCUCAACACGAACCAGAAAAAUAUUCUGAUUUUCUCGGGAACAAUAGGUCGAUAUGUGAUAGAGUGCUAAAGACAAUGUAAAUUACCAGAAUUGAUGAAGCAAUAGGAGUCGACUGAGUAAGCACUAUUAGUGGUGAGCUUCCAAAAAG
rnacentral:lncRNA from 1 species